rnacentral:rRNA from 1 species
CACGUAGGGGGCGAGCGUUGUCCGGAUUUAUUGGGCGUAAAGAGCUCGUAGGCGGUUUCGUUAGUCGGGUGUGAAAACUCUAGGCUCAACCUGGAGACGCCACCCGAUACUGCGAUGACUAGAGUCCGGUAGGGGAGUGUGGAAUUCCUGGUGUAGCGGUGAAAUGCGCAGAUAUCAGGAAGAACACCCGUGGCGAAGGCGGUUCUCUGGGACGGUACUGACGCUGAGACGCGAAAGCGUGGGGAGCGAACAGG